rnacentral:rRNA from 1 species
UUUUAAAGAGAGUUUGAUCCUGGCUCAGGACGAACGCUGGCGGCGUGCCUAAUACAUGCAAGUCGAACGAAU